UACAGAGGGUGCAAGCGUUAAUCGGAAUUACUGGGCGUAAAGCGUGCGUAGACGGUUAUGUAAGUCAGAUGUGAAAGCCCCCGGGCUCAACCUGGGAAUUGCAUUUGAGACUGCAUAGCUAGGGUGCGGAAGAGGGAAGCGGAAUUUCCGGUGUAGCGGUGAAAUGCGUAGAUAUCUGGAGGAACACCGGUGGCGAAGGCGGCAUCCUGGACCGGCAUUGACGCUGAGGCGCGAAAGCCAGGGGAGCAAACGGG
rnacentral:rRNA from 1 species